rnacentral:rRNA from 1 species
AUUGAACGCUGGCGGCAUGCCUUACACAUGCAAGUCGAACGGCAGCAUGAUCUAGCUUGCUAGAUUGAUGGCGAGUGGCGAACGGGUGAGUAAUACAUCGGAACGUGCCCUGUAGUGGGGGAUAACUAGUCGAAAGAUUAGCUAAUACCGCAUACGACCUGAGGGUGAAAGUGGGGGACCGCAUGGCCUCAUGCUAUAGGAGCGGCCGAUGUCUGAUUAGCUAGUUGGUGAGGUAAAGGCUCACCAAGGCGACGAUCAGUAGCUGGUCUGAGAGGACGAUCAGCCACACUGGGACUGAGACACGGCCCAGACUCCUACGGGAGGCAGCAGUGGGGAAUUUUGGACAAUGGGGGCAACCCUGAUCCAGCAAUGCCGCGUGUGUGAAGAAGGCCUUCGGGUUGUAAAGCACUUUUGUCCGGAAAGAAAUCGCACUUACUAAUAUUAGGUGUGGAUGACGGUACCGGAAGAAUAAGGACCGGCUAACUACGUGCCAGCCGCCGCCGUAA